rnacentral:lncRNA from 10 species
GCCAUAUGAAAUGGAGGCAAUUUGUUUAUCAGUCCAAGUCUCCAGAACUCCUGAAUUUUUUGCCAAGGAAACUGGAGAAACUCUCGUCCAGGUACCAACGAAGGAGAUUCUUUCUACAAAAGAAGGAACAGACACUGAAUGACUCAUUUCCCUUCCUCUAACAUGGAAGCAGAAUUAGGCACUCCUGCCAGUCUGACCUAAGUCUGUACAGGACAUCCUGAAAUGUCUUAAAGAUUCCCGGGUGAUUGUGAGAGGAUUCCUAGUGACCAUAGACUGAUGACCAUAUGUUGAUCCAGGUAGGAAAGACUCAAGCUGAUUCUAAAUAGAAAAUGGAACUGCCCUGGUAGAGCUCCAGAACCUGGAUCUACAUGUGAUAUCACCUGUUCUGAUUAGCUAGGUCUUAGGUAAGAGAAAGGACAAGAAUACUCUACUCCAGUAUCACAUUUUACAAAUAGGUAAACUUAUGUCAUUGCUCUGGGUAUUUUGUGGCUUUGAUCUCUCCCUGCUGACAUGCAUGUUUACACUUACAGAUUGUGCAACCAGAUUCUAUUUACACCAGCAGCCUCUCACAUAAUCAUAGCAGGUCACUGGAAAAGAUCUGGAAAGCUCAAAGGGUACACUCUGAAGGAAGGGCUUUAAGAUUUCUAUGCUGACAUCUCACAGAUCAGAAAAUGUCUCCUAUGGGUUUUCUGUACAUUCUCAAUCCAAAAUCUGGCUCUCUCCUGUGAAUCCCAGGGAGAGCUCAGCUCUUAUGUACAGAUUACAGUUCCUCAGUGUGGCUGGCCUAGAUAUUGACCCUACACAGUUGCCUCCUCCUGGUGACUACCAGCUAUGGAACCGUUGGAUACAACCUACCUGACUCACCCCACAGACCUCACAGCACACAUGGACAGACCCCACACGCCAGAGUGACCUGCUCGGUUGCAGCGGGAGUCAAGAAAUGUGCCUGCUGGCACUCACCCCACAGACUAGUGCCCCGUGGAAAACUUAUUUGGGUAAUGUUCUGGGCCGAAUAAAGGCUGGAGUCCCACAGACCCCUUUUCUCUCUCCUGCUCCCCACUCAUCUUCCCCAUUUUGUUCAGCCCUAUGAGGUGUGCUACUGUAUUAGUCCGUUUUCACACUGCUGGUAAAGACAUGCCCAAGACUGUGUAAUUUCCAGAAGACAGAGUUUUAAUAGACGCACAGUUCCACAUGGCUGGGUAGGCCUCACAAUCAUGGUGCAAGGUGAAAGGCAAGUCUCACAUGGCAGCAGACAAGACAAGAGAGCUUGUGCAGGGAAACUCCCCUUUAUAAAACCAUCAGAUCUUGUGAGACUUAUUCACUAUCAGAAGAACAGCAUGGGAAAGACCUGCCCCCAUGAUUCAAUUACCUCCCACCUGUUCCCUCCCACAACAUGUGGGAAUUCAAGAUGAGAUUUGGCUGGGGACACAGCUAAACCCUCUUCUCAGCUACCCUCUUCUCUCUGGAUCUGUGAGUAAUAAACCUACUUCUGUGAUUUCCCAUGUUUGGUUCUGUGGCCUCCAUGGGUCUGAGCUGACCUACACUGGAACCUAACUCUCCUCCUGGCCAGGGUCUCUGAGAGUGGCUCUUGUCAGAAAUACACAGGACACAGGUCAGGCAACAGUCACCAGGCAUCUCCUAGUCUCAACAGAUGUUCUGUGAGAGGGAGGCCUGGUCGUGGGAUGCACAUCUGGCCACUGCUGGUGUAAGGAAGUGUCCUGUGAAAGGCACAUGUUAAGCAUCCACAAC